GGGGCUGUGGUCUAGCACGGUAUGACGGCAAGGCGAUUAAGGGCUCCAGAGGCUUCAUUGAAGAAAAUAUGACCUUUGAGGGAUGAUUUUCUUCUGGAGCGGCUAGGCGGGGAAACCCGCAUGUCGGGGGUUCAAGUCCCUCCAGCCCCA
rnacentral:tRNA from 1 species